GGUGAGCCUGUAAAGUUUUAGGAUCAAGGUUAAAGGCCCUUUUUUGCUCUCUUCUCUCUUGGACCUUCAGGCGACGGCUUGGUAGAGACGGGGUUCCACCGUGUUAGCCAGGAUGGUCUCGAUUUCCUGACCUCGUCAUCCUCCCGCCUUGGCCUCCCAAAGUGCUGGGAUUACAGGCUUGAGCCACCGCGCCCCGCUCUUUCGUGUUCCAAAGGCUUUUUAAAUAAACUUCCACUCCUGUCCUGGAUUCUGCUUUAUGGCCCUCAGUCGAAUUCUUUCUUCUGAGGAGGCAAGGACUGAAGUUGCUUCUGACCAGUACAGGAGAAAACGAAUACAGCAGGGAUGACUUCCACCAGCUCCACUUUGCAGCUCUGAGGUGUAUUAAAAAUUUGUUUUUCAGAAACCUAGAGCCCCACCAAAUGAAUCCGCUGGCACGUGGACCUCAGAUGGGGGAAACUGAGGACUGAAUUCUGACCACCCUCCUUUGUUCUAAAUUUCUUCCUGAAGGACCUGGAAGAAGUCAUGCCACGGGCCAGACCUUAACAUUCCUUUCGGCUUACCCCAGGAUUUCAGACAAAGCUUCACUUUCCUAACCAGUCACAAAUCAGAGAAUUUUUGAUUCCACCUAUGACCUGUGAGCUCCUGCUUCAAGAUAUUCCACCUUUUUUAGGCCAAACCAAUGUAUAACCUCCAAGUGUCGAUUUACACUUUCGACUGUAACUUCUGCUUUCCUGAGAUUUACCCCUGCCUUUAAAAACCCUUGCUUGUAAUCCCUCAGGGAGGCCGUGUAUUUAUUAAUCAUGAGCUGCCCAAUUCUCCUUGCUUGGUGCCCUGCAAAUAAACACCCUCUUUUCUCCCACUGCAAAA
rnacentral:lncRNA from 1 species